ACCUGGGUGGCUCAGUUGGUUAAGCAUCUGACUUCGGCUCAGAUCAUGAUCUCAUGGUUUGUGGGUUCAAGCCCCAUGUCAGGCU
rnacentral:tRNA from 1 species